rnacentral:rRNA from 1 species
UUUUGCCUACGGGACGCAGCAGUCGGGAAUAUUGCGCAAUGGAGGAAACUCUGACGCAGUGACGCCGCGUAUAGGAAGAAGGUUUUCGGAUUGUAAACUAUUGUCCACAGGGAAGAAACAAGACUGUACCUGUGAAGAAAGCUCCGGCUGACUACGUGCCAGCAGCCGCGGUAAUACGUAGGGAGCAAGCGUUAUCCGGAAUUAUUGGGUGUAAAGGGUGCGUAGACGGGAUAACAAGUUAGUUGUGAAAUACCUCGGCUCCACUGGGGAACUGCAACUAAAACUAUUAUUCUUGAGUGCAGGAG